rnacentral:rRNA from 1 species
GAUGAACGCUGGCGGCGUGCCUAAUACAUGCAAGUCGAGCGAACAGACGAGGAGCUUGCUCCUCUGACGUUAGCGGCGGACGGGUGAGUAACACGUGGAUAACCUACCUAUAAGACUGGGAUAACUUCGGGAAACCGGAGCUAAUACCGGAUAAUAUAUUGAACCGCAUGGUUCAAUAGUGAAAGACGGUUUUGCUGUCACUUCUAGAUGGAUCCGCGCCGCAUUAGCUAGUUGGUAAGGUAACGGCUUACCAAGGCAACGAUGCGUAGCCGACCUGAGAGGGUGAUCGGCCACACUGGAACGGAGACACGGUCCAGACUCCUACGGGAGGCAGCAGUAGGGAAUCGUCCGCAAUGGGCGAAAGCUUGACGGAGCAACGCCGCGUGAGUGAUGAAGGUCUUCGGAUCGUAAAACUCUGUUAUUAGGGAAGAACAAAUGUGUAAGUAACUAUGCACGUCGUGACGGUACCUAAUCAGAAAGCCACGGCUAACUACGUG